UACGGGGGGGGCAAGCGUUGUUCGGAAUUACUGGGCGUAAAGGGCUCGUAGGCGGCCAACUAAGUCAUACGUGAAAUCCCUCGGCUUAACCGGGGAACUGCGUCUGAUACUGGACGGCUUGAGAUUGGGAGAGGGAUGCGGAAUUCCAGGUGUAGCGGUGAAAUGCGUAGAUAUCUGGAGGAACACCGGUGGCGAAGGCGGCAUCCUGGACCAACACUGACGCUGAGGAGCGAAAGCCAGGGGAGCAAACGGG
rnacentral:rRNA from 1 species